GGGGCGGGGCGGGGCGGGCAAGCUGAUGUAGGACGGUGUGCGUUUGCGCACCAGCCGGUUUUUCUCAGGCGGUUUCGCGCACUGCCCCAGCGCUGACAGGGCAUCCAAAUAUGUAAGGCAAAAAUAGAACUACAAGAAGAACUGGACGAAUCUACUAUUAUAGUUGGAGACUUUAACACUCCUAUAUCAGAAAUGGACAUAGUCAACAAGCAGAAAACCAGUAAGGACAUAGUUGAAUUCAAUAAGACCACCAAUCAACUGUAUAUAAUUGACACCUAUAGAGUACUUCAUCCAGCAGCAGACAGCUCAUUACAGUUCUUCUCAAGAUCACAUGGAGCAUACACCAAGAUAGAUCAUACUCUGGGCUAUAAAACACACCUCAACAAAUGUAAAAGAAGUCACAUAGCAUCUGCUUUCAGACCACAUGAAAUUAAACUAGAAAUUGAUAUCAGAAACAUAACUGAGAAUCACAAAUACUUGGAGAUUAAACGACAUAUCUCUAAGUAAUAUAUGAGUCAAAAAAGUCUGAUGAAAAGAGUAAAAUAUUUGAAAUAAAUGAAACUAUAACUUGCCAAAAUGUGUAAGAUACAGCAAAAGCAGUGCUUAGAAAUUUAUAGCAUUGAAUACAUAUAUUAGAAAAGAAGAUUUAAAAUCAUUAAUCCAGCUGUCAGCUUUUAUCUCAGAGGAGGACAAUGUGAAACUUUCUUCAGUUGUCCCGAAUCUGGGUUCAUAGAACACUAGCCCCUCCACCAUGCCACUGAAGAAAAAAGUAAAAGAAUUCAUUCAAUAUUCUGCCUUAGGAAACUAGAAAAAAAAGAGCAAAUUAAGUCCAAAUAAGCAGAAUAAGAUAAAUAAAAAUUGUAGCAGAUAUCAAUAAAACUGAAAGCAGGAAAGCAAUAGAGAAAAAUAACAAAACCAAAAUCUAGCUUUAAAAAAAAAAUCGGGCCGGGCACGGUGGCUCAAGCCUGUAAUCCCAGCACUUUGGGAGGCCGAGGCAGGUGGAUCACGAGGUCAAGAGAUCGAGACCAUCCUGGUCAACAUGGUGCAACCCCGUCUCUACUAAAAACACAAAAAAAUCAGCUGGGCAUGGUGGCGCGUGCCUGUAAUCCCAGCUACUCGGGAGGCUGAGCCAGGAGAAUUGCCUGAACCCAGGAGGCAGAGGUUGCGGUGAGCCGAGAGUGCGCCAUUGCACUCCAUCCUGGGUUACAAGAGCGAAACUCCGUCUCAAAAAAAAAAAAAAUCAAAAAAGUUGAUAAACCUUAGGCAGGCUUACUAAGCAAAAGAGAGGGAAGACGCAAUUACUAACAUCAAAAGUAAAAGAGGGGGCAUCGCUACAGAUCCCAUGCACACUAAAAGAAUAAUAAAGGAAAAUUAUGGAUAACUCUAUGCCUACACAUUUGAUUACCUAGAUGGAAAUGGACCGAUUACUUAAAAGACACAGUCUGGCUGACGCCCGCCAGGCUGAGCUGUGGACCCAGGCGGCGCUGCUGCUGCUGCUGGGUGCCCAAUGCCUUGAACCUGGGGAAACUAUGUGAAGCAACACUUCGGAUUUUGAAAGACAUCAUUUCAUCAUGGGACAGCAAAUUUCGGAUCAGACACAGUUGGUUAUUAGCAAGUUACCAGAAAAAGUAGCAAAACAUGUCACAUUGGUUCGAGAAAAUGGCUCCUUAACUUACAAAGAACUUCUUGGGAGAGUAGCUGAGCUUAAUGAUGUAACUGCUAAAGUGGCUUCUGGCCAGGAAAAACAUCUCUUUGAGGUACAACCUGGGUCUGAUUCCUCUGCUUUUUGGAAAGUGGUGGUACGGGUGGUCUGCAUCAAGAUUAACAAAAGCAGUGGCAUUGUGGAGGCAUCACGGAUCAUGAAUUUGUACCAGUUUAUUCAAAUUUAUAAAGAUAUCACAAGUCAAGCAGCAGGAGUAUUAGCACAAAGCUCCACCUCUGAAGAACCUGAUGAAAGCUCAUCCUCUGUAACAUCUUGUCAGGCUAGUUUUUGGAUUGGAAGGGUAAAGCAGCUGACUGAUGAGGAGGAGUGUUGUAUCUGUAUGGACUGGCAAGCUGACCUCAUCCUGCCUUGUGCUCACAGCUUUUGUCAGAAGUGUAUUGAUAAAUGGAGUGAUUGACACAGGAAUUGCCCUAUUUGUCGCCUACAGAUGACUGGAGCAAAUGAAUUUUGGGUGGUAUCAGAUGCACCCACUGAAGAUGAUAUAGCUAACUAUGUUCUUAACAUGGCUGACGAGGCAGGCCAGCCCCACAGGCCAUGACCUUGGAGUGAAGGUCUUCUGUUGCUAUUGUAGGCUACAAAUAUUUGAUCAUGGGGGAAGAACACAAGGUUGUGGCACAGACACAGAAAAAUCCAUUUUCCCCACCCUUUUAUUUCUGCUACUCUGAUCAUUUGUCCCACUUUAAAAAAUUAAUGUCCCAUGUCUUCCAUUUAUGGUAAACUAAAAUUUGCUACUGUUUUAGACUAUAUUUUCCUAUUAUUUGUCUGUUCAAAUUUGUAUUACAAUUAAUUGCUCCUGAAUUCUUUGCUAAAGGUAACAGCAGCACUUCCAGAGGCUUCUGAAACACUAAUGUUUUGUGGAGCAGGAGUAUUCUGAGGUUAGUAGUUUGAGACCAGCCUGGCCAACAUGGUAAAACCCUGUCUCUAUUAAGAUACAAAAACUAGGGCCGGGUGCGGUGGCUCAAGCCUGUAAUCCCAGCACUUUGGGAGGCCGAGGCGGGUGGAUCACGAGGUCGAGAGAUCGAGACCAACCUGGUCAACAUGGUGAAACCCCGUCUCUACUAAAAUACAAAAAAUUAGCUGGGCAUGGUGACGCGUGCCUGUAAUCCCGGCUACUCAGGAGGCUGAGGCAGGAGAAUUGCCUGAACCCAGGAGGCGGAGGUUGCGGUGAGCCGAGAUCGCGCCAUUGCACUCCAGCCUGGGUAACAAGAGCGAAACUCUGUCUCAAAAAAAAAAAAAAAAAAAAAAAAGAUACAAAAACUAGCUGGGCCUGGUGGCAAGCACCUGUGAUCUCAGCUACUCGAUAGGCUGAGGCAGGAGAAUUGCUUGAACCUGGGAGGUGGAGGUUGUAAUGAGCCAAGAUUGUGCCACUGCACUCUAGCCCAGGAGACAGAGCGAGAUUCCUUCUCAAAAAAAAGGACAAGAAAAUAGAGUGAUGCUUUUUUACUGUAUAUACAUAAAAGACGUCUGAAAAUUAGAAGAUAAUUUGGCAUUCUUGCUGUUUCACUGUACUUCCAUUGAAAUAUUCUUUCCAUUAAAAUAGUCUAAAAGAAUAUAGUAAUAAUGGAAUUGUGAUCUUCAGUCACAACCAUUUUUUUGCUUAUCAUCUAAAUUUCUAACAUUAAUAUUUUGGCAUGUAAUAAAACAAGGGCCUGCCUCCUUUAAAAUGUAACAUUCCAUGUAACUUUUCUGACUUCUUCAAAGUUGCAAAUAUUGCUAUUUUCCUAAACCAGGGUACACAAUUUAAGUUGCCACUGAUUGAUGACAGAAUUUUUGGAUAAUAGGGUUUUAAUAGGCAAGCAAAUAAAAUUAAAUCAAUUUCAAGGAAAAACAUCUGGUAUUUCAAGGUAGCUUGAAAUUUCAAAUUCCAAGGUAGCUUGAUCUUGCCCCAAAAAAUGCUGAAGACUAAUCCAUUGACAUUCAUAAUGGGACAGCUAAAUACCAAACAGCUAACUACUCCCUAUGGAGGUUUAUGCAAGCAGAGUACCAGGGGUUCCAUCAUAUCAACCUGGCAAUGCACUUGGUGGUUGUGUGACCUUGAGAAAGUCUCUUACUGUUGUUUGUAGGUUCCUACUUUAGAAACUGAGACUUUAUUUGUGGUUUUCCCACUAUGUCAGCAGCAAAAACUUUUUUUUCAAGGAAAAUCUUACAGAACCCUUAAACACACAUGCAUACACACACAUCCUACCCCUUAUAUAAAAGUCAUAUUUUAUUAUAAAUGUCCUUAUUUAUUAUAUAAACUUUAUAUACUAUAAAUAUGAUUAAGUCAACCAAUAAAAACACAUUGAUGCAUUGGUAAUAGCAGUAUGUUUGAAUUUAGUGAGUAACACCCUUGUAUAAUGGGAGUUGUUUUUUUUAAAAAGUUUUUUAAUUCGGUCAAAUUUGCAGAACCCUGUAUCUCCUCCACAGAUUCUUCGUGUUCCAUGGAAUAUAUUUUGAAAACCUUGGGAUAGAUGAUCCACUGGGAUCUUUUCCAGCUCAAAGAUUUUAAAUUUUCCUUUUGGAUUAGACUUGCUGAGCUUAAUUCAGAUUGUCUCAUUUAAAAAUGUUUCUGAAAUGUGAACAAAGUUACCUUACAGAGUUUUGCAUCUUUCCAGGGAUAGCCAAUGAUUUUAUCCCCCAGAAUCCUUCACCUUUCAAGGAAUUAUUUAACAAUGAGACCAGUGACUCAACAGGGCCCAAACCUUUUUAUUUUACAAUAUGAGCUCCAAGACACUUACUGAUCUACUGUGAAUAUAAAAUAUUAUUAGCCUUAUCAAAUAUCGAAUAAAUGAAUACAGCUCUUUGUUCACGCUAUUAAACUGGGUGAUAAUUCUUUAGAUGUGACUGUUAGGUAGGUUCUACUGUAAUAACAUCGUAAAAGUUGUAAAUUUGUUUGAUAGAUGUUUUGUAUUCUGUACAGCAUUGUCUUUUUUAAAUUUGAAGUACUUAAAUGUACUUACUAUAAUAGGAAACAUAAUGUGUGCCUUCUAGGAUUUGUGAAGUGGUCUCAUGAGCUCUAAGGAAUUUGUUUUAUAAGUUAUAAAGUUUUCCCUAUCCUAACUCAGUAACAGAGGGUUUACUCCGAUUAUGUAUAGAACCUUAGUUUGAGAAAAUGAAUUUGACUAUGUACUGAAUUUAGAGGUUGAGAAUAAUAGUAUCUGUGUUAUUCUUAGGACCACUGAUAAAUUAUGCAAUAAAUAAUCAUUUGCAAGUUAAAAAAAAAGACACAGUCUGCCAAAAUUAACACAAAAAGAAAUCAGCACUUUUAGUAAAUUUAUAUUGAUUAAAGUAAUUGGAUUAAUAAUUAAUAACCUUCCAAAACAGAAAGCAUGAGGCCUGGAUGGAUUCAUUAGUGAACGCUUCCAAACAUUUAAGGAAGAAAUUAUACCAAACCUCUAUAAUCUCUUCCGGGAAGCAGAGGUUACUUCCUAACCCAUUCUAUGAGGCUGGCAUACCCUAACAUUCAAAUUAAACCAAGAUUUUACAAAAGCUUGGUGCAGUGGUUCACACCUGUAAUCCCACACUUUGGGAGCCUGUGAUGGGAUGAUCACUUGAGUUCAGGAGUUCAACAUCAGCCUGGGAAAAUAUCAAAGCCUCAUCUCUACUUAAAAAAAAAAUUGCCAGGCCCAGUGGCUCAUGACUUUAGGAGGCGUUUCUACUAAAAAUACAAAAUUAACUGGGUGUGGUGGUACAUGCCUGUAAUCCCAGCUGCUCAGGAGGCUGAGACAGGAGAAUUGCUUGAACCUGGGAGGCAGAGUUUGCAGUGAGCUGAGAUCACACCAUUGCAGUCCAGCCUGGACAACAAGAGCAAAACUCCUUCUCAAAAAAAAAAAAAAAAAAAAAAUAGCUGAUAUGGUGGCACACACCUGUUGUCUCAGCUGCUUGAAAAGCUGAAGUGGGAGGAUAACUUGAGCCCAGGAGAUCAAGGCUGCAGUGAUCUGUGAUCAUGCCACUGCAUUCUAGUUUGGGCAACAGAGUAAGUCCUUGUCUAGAAAAAAAAUUUUCAAGAAAAGAAAUCAAAGAGUAUAAUUAAUUCUAUCAGGAAUGCUGGUUUCUUCAUUUUUGAGGCUAUGACAAACAGGACCAUUUUAUCCAUUGAAUAAUACAGACCCCCACAUCAAGAGUCUGGGAGCUUUUCAGGGUUUAUAAAAAAUGUUUUAUAUGUGAAAAAAAGAAUCUCGAAUUUACAAAAAGAAAACUGCAAAAUCCUACACAUUGCCAAAGCUGUAGAAACUGAACUCCUAGUCUUUUGAUUCCCCGUUUUUUUUUUUUUU